rnacentral:rRNA from 1 species
GACGAACGCUGGCGGCGUGCCUAAUACAUGCAAGUAGAACGCUGAAGCUUGGUGCUUGCACCGAGCGGAUGGGUUGCGAACGGGUGAGUAACGCGUAGGUAACCUGCCUGGUAGCGGGGGAUAACUAUUGGAAACGAUAGCUAAUACCGCAUAAGAGUAGAUGUUGCAUGACAUUUGCUUAAAAGGUGCAAUUGCAUCACUACCAGAUGGACCUGCGUUGUAUUAGCUAGUUGGUGAGGUAACGGCUCACCAAGGCAACGAUACAUAGCCGACCUGAGAGGGUGAUCGGCCACACUGGGACUGAGACACGGCCCAGACUCCUACGGGAGGCAGCAGUAGGGAAUCUUCGGCAAUGGACGGAAGUCUGACCGAGCAACGCCGCGUGAGUGAAGAAGGUUUUCGGAUCGUAAAGCUCUGUUGUAAGAGAAGAACGAGUGUGAGAGUGGAAAGUUCACACUGUGACGGUAUCUUACCAGAAAGGGACGGCUAACUACGUG